GUGACAUCAUGCUCCUCUUCACCUGCUAGUUACUUGCCUGCUUUGUGAUAAGCAAAUUUUACUAUCUUCUAAUUCUGAACACAUCAGAAAUCACCAACCCCUCCUGACAUAUCUUUCCAGUUUGGGGUAGUUUUGCAUGGUCCCCAAUAAACUCAACGUGGGAUGCCUCUCCCAUUUCUUUCACAUCAGGGCAAUUAACCUAUACCAGGCCACAGAGAGGUUCUUCAUUUGGGUCCACUACUUUGCCAUUUGCACCGAGGUGUGGAGCAUCAGGGUGGAUGAUGAGACUAGAUGGAGUAACGUUAACGUCAAAGGUCUCCUCAUAGCAGUGAAGAACCUCUGGCUCAAGUUUCAAUCCUCUACACAUCGCUCUCUAGAGACCCCGACAGAUGUUUACACACACUGUUUAAUGCAAGAUAUAAAUGCAUUUAACCUGCAAUUACAAAUGCAUAAUAUUUUGAUGUUUUAAUCCCAAAAUGUUGAAUACUGAUAUUUGCAAUGAUAAAAGAAAGUGCUUUAAGAGGUGAAAUUAAAAACACCAAUAUCUAGACAAUCAUGAAUUGUAACAUCACUUCCUUUAAUGUUUUUACUAUACAGUUGAUAUGAAAUUUGUUUAAAUGUUAAUUUUUUGAAAAAAAUGUUUAUAUGAAAUUCUUAUACAAAAUAAAUAUGUAGUUAAAGUAUAUCUACAUUCCUUGCUUUCAUACAUGGUCAUAUGAAAAAUUUGCCGUACUUAAGGUAGAUUUCUGCCAUUUACAGGAAAACAUUUAAAAUUACAAUUUUAAACAAAAGCACUAUAUGAACAUUCUGAGUGAUUUUAUUACACUAAUAUACAAUCAGACAUCCCAAUUUCUGUUUUGGUAAAGUCAUUAAGUGUCAUGUCAUUUAGAUGAAUUAGAAUUUUAUUUGGGGUCCUGAAAUACCCUAAACACUGCACAGAGGUUAAGAUUACCAUUGCUCC